UGAAAUGCAAAAGAAAUGACAAUGCAGUACACAGCAUUGCAUAAACUUCUCUGGCUUUUAAAUGCAUUAAUUCUUACAACACAAGGUAUGUGAAACAAUUUUAAACUCAUUGUUCAAUAGAAAUGUUUACAGUUCAGAAGUAUCAGAGGUAUACAGAAGUAUAACAGUCCUGACUUUUUCCUUUAAAAGUUUAAGAUCAGGAGGUAAUGUUCUAAUAAUGUAAAGUGAAACAGUGGGAUUGUGCUGAUAACAAUGCUGAACCAACACAACGCUUUCGUGUCCUUUAAAUCUCAGUACAAUAUUAUCUUUGUCUACAGAGUUGGUGAAACUAAGGGUGAGUCCCAGGAUUAUUGCAGAAUGCGGCAAACAGGUUACCCUAAACUGCAACGUGUCCUCAUCUCGAAAUGGCCUAUCGAUCAAACACAUGGAGUGGUUCCAAAACCAUACCUCUUUCUGUUCAGUGGACAGUGAAGGAAAAAUCACAAACCACAGACACACUCAAAGUGACUUCCAUUGUGAGUACAGACAUGGACAACUGUCACUCAUCUUUAGAAGAGUGCAGCCACUGGAGAGCAGAAACUCAAAACCCUACGUCUGCAAACUACAGUCCAACAAUGGAGCUUCACAUGCAAAGACAAGUGUGGAGUUACAAGAGUGUUGUUGGCUCGUUGAGGGUGUUUGGACUAAUGACCGUCCCACCUGCACCUUUAAAAAUGUCUACCCAGAUGGAGACGUGCACUGGUUCCACGGCUCCCGCAAUCUCUCAGAUGAGUCAGUGAAGCACCACACUACUAAACAUGUGGACGAAGGGGGUUGGCUGACUAUCCAUAGUUACCUGGAGCAGAAUCUUUCAGGUGGACCCUACAACUGUUCCUUGAAGAGCACCACAUCUGGUAGAUACAUCGCCAGCACUUUGGUUGAGAAUCCUAAACUGGCCAGAGUCAUAGUCAAAGCACAGGAACAAGCAGACCAGUUCAGGUUCCAGUUCAACGGAGUUGGAUCACAGGGACCUAUGUUUACAUUUUUUGUGUGUAUUUUAAUCUUCCUUGCUGUCACACUAAAAUAAUCGAUUUGCCAAUAUAAAUCCACAUGAUGUAGUAUGAAAAGAUAGCAGGGUUGAAGCGAUGAUUAACAUUGAUUAGCAACAAAAAGGUACUGAGAUUAAUUUUUGUACCCGGGCAACAGCGUUCUAUGCGAGUCCAAAUGUUUAUUCUUCUUCUUUUUAGCUCUCGAAUGAAAUAAACAAGGGAAUUACAGACUGCUGAGUAAUCAUUUUCCUGUAUACAAAUACCUUUGUGGUUUUGUUUCGAUAGAGAGUCACGGAUGAGGGAUCAGAGCGUAUUGGUUUUGUUACACUACACACACACACACACACACACACACACACACACACACACACACACACACACACACACACACACACACACAUACGCACACAGUAGAAACACACACACAGAACACACACUCAAAUACAACUGCAAAUGUUUAAGGAGUCCUGUUGGCUACUGUUUCAAUUCAGCCUGAAGAUUAGAAACCAUACAGCCACAGAUUAUGAUGUAUUUAUUUCUAAGAGAGUGAGAUAAAAAUGUUUGUUGACAGGUGUGCCCACUAUGUCUCCACGGGAUGGUUGUAUAUCUGUGACUGUUGUUUGAAUGCACACGUUCUGCAAUAGAAAAAAACCCAACAUCUCUCAAUCUUGAAUAAAAUGAAUAGCUCAAUAGAUGAGCUCUGCCGUGAAUUCCCCUCAGACACACAGAAGCCUUUGUGUGCAAAAUAUCAAAAAGCCAGACAGGAAAUCUCAGUCAUGCAACAUCCCUGACUGGUGUGUGGGUGGAUGCUGCCCUCUGGUGACCUAGCUGUGGCUGCUGUACCACUAACUGUUUUAGGGGCAGUAGACUGUCAACAUGGUCGGCAUAAUGGGUGCAUUUAAAGGGUUGACUCACUCUGAGUGCAGCAGACAAGUAAGAAGACGGAUACAGAUCUGUUCUCCUGUUCCCCAUCUUUCAACUAGCCCUCUGUCUUUACAGGUAUGGCUCAAAGCUGGAGGACAAACGCAGCUCCAAGGCUAAAACGCUGCCUUUUUAACGCCUCAUUGCAGCCACUUCAGCCACUUCAUUGUCAGAAUGACUCUCUGCUAAUGGUGAUACUAAAUCGGUGCCACGCAGGAGCAGGUUGAACUUUUAGCAAGACGCUGCUGCGGCUGAGAGCCCACUGCGUGAAUAACUACAAGGUCACCUUGACUAUUCCAGUGCACAUGGAUACACAUAUUUAUACACACACACACACACACACACACACGUAGAUAUUUGUGGAAUAAUAAUCUCUCAAAUGCAUGGUUGUGACUAAUAUUGACACUGAACAUUUUCUUUGUGAAAUAUUAUUUAAAAAUCAAAACAAUCUACAUAGAUAUUUACAAAAAAUUAAUAAUGUGAUGACUGAAUUAUUCAAAAUGUCUUUUUUAAAUAACUCUUUAAUUCAAACUUUAUAUUGUGAUUUGUUUCAACAUUAUUUAGCUGACAUUAACAAUUACAAAAUAAUAAACUCGUACGUAAGCUUUCAAAUGAAAAUAAAGAGCAUUCAAAAAUAAAAUCAUUUGUGGUUGUUUGCUUUUUGACAAUAGCAGACUGUAGGUAUUUUUUUUAGUUUCAUGUCACGAUGUAAUGAAGGCUUCUCCUUGAUUUACUGUGGCUUACAUUGUACCUCAUUUCUAUGUCGCUUGGGACAAACGCAGCUGCCAAAGGCCUCUCC
ensembl:lncRNA